rnacentral:lncRNA from 1 species
UAACAAUUCCCAAAUCCUUCUUGUGUGUGGUUAUCCCUAGUUCACUACCAUUUAGGGUGUAAAUUGCUUGUGCAUCCUUAACCCCGAAGUGCAUAACUUUGCCAUUUCUCUAUGUUAAACUUCAUCUGCCAUUUUAGUGCCCAGCCCCCCAAUCUAUCCAAAUCCCUCUGCAGCAAGGCAAUAUUCUGCUCACAUUUUAUUACUUUACAAAGUUUUGUGUCAUGUGCAAACACUGAUACAUGGCUUUCAAUGCC